rnacentral:tRNA from 1 species
UCCCUGGCGGUCCAGUGGUUAAGACCCUGCCCUCCCAAUGCAGGGGCACAGGUUCAGUCCCUGGUCAGGGAA